UGCGAGGUGGAGGAAUUGGUCAACUCAUCAGACUCAUGACCUAAAAAAUACAGGUUCGAAUCCUGUUCCCGCCU
rnacentral:tRNA from 1 species